rnacentral:rRNA from 1 species
ACACGGUCCAGACUCNUACGGGAGGCAGCAGUGGGGAAUAUUGGACAAUGGGCGCAAGCCUGAUCCAGCCAUGCCGCGUGUGUGAAGAAGGCCUUCGGGUUGUAAAGCACUUUUGUUGGGGAAGAAAAGCACUGGGUUAAUACCUUGGUGUCAUGACGGUACCCAAAGAAUAAGCACCGGCUAACUUCGUGCCAGCAGCCGCGGUAAUACGAAGGGUGCAAGCGUUACUCGGAAUUACUGGGCGUAAAGCGUGCGUAGGCGGUUUGUUAAGUCUGUCGUGAAAGCCCCGGGCUCAACCUGGGAAUGGCGAUGGAUACUGGCGAGCUAGAGUACGGUAGAGGAGAGUGGAAUUCCCGGUGUAGCAGUGAAAUGCGUAGAGAUCGGGAGGAACAUCAGUUGCGAAGGCGNCU